rnacentral:sRNA from 1 species
UUCAGUUCUCCCUGAUGUCUUUAUUGGAAAGCCUGGACCCAGCAGGUGCCACGACAGCCAGCAGGCCUGUGGAAAUGCCUCUUCAAAGCUGGCUUGGCUCUGCCCAGCAAUGCAGGCUGAGCCCAUCCAUCAGCUGUCCUACUGCCUGCCAGCGAGAGUCUCUGCUGGGCUUGCCCUGCCAGCCAGAUUGGAAGCGUCAAAUGCAGGCCGACAGGGCUGGGGUUUGGAGGAGGCCCUCAGAGGAGCCGUCUGUGCCACAGUGAUGGAUGACACCAACAGGGACGACAUUCCGGGGAUUUUGAUUCUGUUCCACACAUCUGGCAAGCUCCUUAACCAGAGCAGCUGCAAAGCUCCCAUCGCAGGAACUCUGAGCAUUUUCUGAGAGACCCCAAACAUGGACUGAGUUAAUCCUGGUCAAGGGACCUGGAGCAUGUGCUUAAGAAGGUUUCCCAAUGCAUGCUACUUCCUGAAAGCCAAAACCUAAGGAGUUUCAUGAAACCCAAACCUAUAAGAGAUUCCAGGAUCGUAAAAAGGCAAAUAAAACUUGGAGUUAGGUA